UUUAUAAUUUUGUUGGACCACACCAAUUGGUUUCCAAUGGAAGUAGUAAUCUUCAAAGUUCAAAUUAAGGCUUUAUAAAUAGCAGCACUAGGGAUUUUGGGAUAUCACAGUUAGUUAUUUUAAGGAAAUAAAAGAAGGAGUAUAUCAUAAUGGAGAGGAAAAUACUUCUUGUGUUGUGCUUCUUCCUCUUUGCUCUCACCGUUGCUCAAGGAAGAUGUAUGAAAAUGAGUUCUCGAUUUGUUGGUCUAUGCACUGGCCCACUUGAAAGCCAAGUUUGUGACUAUACUUGCAUUGGAGAAGGUUACCCUAAUGGUACAUGCUUCAGUGAGGUGUGCUAUUGUAGCUGUUGAAUUUGCCACUAUAUACAUAAAUAAAACUAGCUGUAAUAUCUUGUCAAUAAAAAAUAGCCAUAAUAGCUCAUGAUGCCCCCAUCAAAUCCUAGACAUCAUAUUAUAGAUGAUGUACACUCUCAUGUAUUAGGCACAUUUUAGUUAAUGAAAUGCAAUGUAUUUUUUCCUAAAAUGAAAGUUGUAAUAUCUUUAAUAAGUUGUCUAUUUCCACGCAUCUGUAUUAUUAUCAAUCUAUUUUGCAACUGAUUAAUUGAUAAAGAAAGUUGGGAGGUGUUUGAAUUUA